rnacentral:RNase_P_RNA from 1 species
CGGGUCGGCCAGACGGUCGCGUCGUGCGCCUUCGGGCGUACGCCGAGGAACGUCCGGGCUCCACAGAGCAGGGCGGUGGGUAACGCCCACCCGGAGUGAUCCGCGAGAAAGUGCAACAGAGAGUAGACCGCCUCCGUCGUCCUUCGGGAUGGCGGCGGUAAGGGUGAAACGGUGGUGUAAGAGACCACCAGGGGUCCGAGCGAUCGGAUCCGCUGGGUAAACCUCGCCUGGAGCAAGGUCAGACAGACGCCGAUGAGGCUGCUCGCCGAGGCGUCGGGUAGACCGCUGGAGGGCUGCGGCAACGCAUCCCCGAGAGAGAUGGCCGUCCGGUCGGAGAGAUCCGACCGACAGAACCCGGCGUAUCGGCCGGCCCGUUCG